rnacentral:rRNA from 1 species
AGUGAACGCUGGCGGCGUGCUUAACACAUGCAAGUCGAACGAGAACGGAUUAUAGCUUGCUAUAAUUGUCAGCUAAGUGGCGCACGGGUGAGUAAUGUAUAGGUAAUAUGCCUCUUACUAAGGGAUAACAAAUGGAAACGUUUGCUAAUACCUUAUACUCCUUAUUAACAGAAGUUAAUAAGGGAAAGAUUUAUUGGUAAGAGAUUAGCCUGUAUUGUAUCAGUUAGUUGGUGGGGUAAUGGCUUACCAAGACUAUGACACAUAACUGGUUUGAGAGGAUGAUCAGUCACACUGGAAGUGAUAAACGGUCCAGACUCCUACGAGAGGCAGCAGUGGGGAAUAUUGCACAAUGGACGAAAGUCUGAUGCAGCAACGCCGCGUGGAGGAUGACACAUUUCGGUGCGUAAACUCCUUUUAUAUGAGAAGAUAAUUACGGUAUUAUAUGAAUAAGCACCGGCUAACUCCGUGCCAGCCGCCGCCGUAA